rnacentral:rRNA from 1 species
UGCCAGCCGCCGCGGUAAUACGGAGGGUGCAAGCGUUGUCCGGAUUUAUUGGGUUUAAAGGGUGCGUAGGCGGUCCGUUAAGUCAGUGGUGAAAUCCCUCAGCUCAACUUCGGAAUAGCAUUUGAAACUACUUGUCUAGAGGAUGGACGGAGAAAACGGAAUUCCAUGUGUAGCGGUGAAAUGCGUAGAUAUAUGGAAGAACACCCGUGGCGAAAGCGGUUUUCUAGUUCACUCCUGACGCUGAGGUCCGAAAGCGAGGGUAGCAAACAGGAUUAGAUA